UGGUGGUUCAAUGGUAGAAUUCUCGCCUCCCAUGCAGGAGACCCAGGUUCAAUUCCUAGCCA
rnacentral:tRNA from 1 species